rnacentral:misc_RNA from 1 species
GUAGGUGAACCUGCGGAAGGAUCAUUAUUGAAUGAAUGUAGAGUCGGUUGUCGCUGGUCCUUUCGGGGACAUGUGCACGCCUUCUCUUUCAUCCACACACACCUGUGCACUCGUGAGACGGAAGCCCUCGGGCGUCCGUCUGCUCUACAUAAACUCAUAUCUAUAAUUUGAAUGUAAUUGAUGUAACACAUCUUUAAACUAAGUUUCAACAACGGAUCUCUUGGCUCUCGCAUCGAUGAAGAACGCAGCA